rnacentral:rRNA from 1 species
UACGUAGGGGGCAAGCGUUGUCCGGAAUCAUUGGGCGUAAAGAGCUCGUAGGCGGUUUGUUGCGUCGGCUGUGAAAUCCCGAGGCUCAACCUCGGGUCUGCAGUCGAUACGAGCAAACUAGAGUGUUGCAGGGGAGACUGGAAUUCCUGGUGUAGCGGUGAAAUGCGCAGAUAUCGGGAAGAACACCCGUGGCGAAGGCGGUUCUCUGGGACGGUACUGACGCUGAGACGCGAAAGCGUGGGGAGCGAACAGG